rnacentral:rRNA from 1 species
CAGUCGACGGACGAUGAAGAGCUUGCUUUUCAAGUUAGUGGCGGACGGGUGCCUUACGCGUGGGUAACCUGCCUCAUACAGGGGAAUAGCAGCUGGAAACGGCUGAUAAAACCGCAUAAGCGCACAGUGCCGCAUGGCACAGUGUGAAAAACUCCGGUGGUAUGAGAUGGACCCGCGUCUGAUUAGCUGGUUGGCGGGGUAACGGCCCACCAAGGCGACGAUCAGUAGCCGGCCUGAGAGGGUGAUCGGCCACAUUGGGACUGAGACACGGCCCAAACUCCUACGGGAGGCAGCAGUGGGGAAUAUUGCACAAUGGGGGAAACCCUGAUGCAGCGACGCCGCGUGAAGGAAGAAGUAUCUCGGUAUGUAAACUUCUAUCAGCAGGGAAGAUAAUGACGGUACCUGACUAAGAAGCCCCGGCUAACUACGUGCCAGCAGCCGCGGUAAUACGUAGGGGGCAAGCGUUAUCCGGAUUUACUGGGUGUAAAGGGAGCGUAGGCGGCGGAGCAAGUCAGAAGUGAAAGCCCGGGGCUCAACCCCGGGACGGCUUUUGAAACUGCCCUGCUUGAUUUCAGGAGAGGUAAGCGGAAUUCCUAGUGUAGCGGUGAAAUGCGUAGAUAUUAGGAGGAACACCAGUGGCGAAGGCGGCUUACUGGACUGACAAUGACGCUGAGGCUCGAAAGCGUGGGGAGCAAACAGGAUUAGAUACCCUGGUAGUCCACGCCGUANACGAUGAAUACUAGGUGUCGGGGCUCAUAAGAGCUUCGGNGCCGCAGCAAACGCAAUAAGUAUUCCACCUGGGAGUACGUUCGCAAGAAUGAAACU